rnacentral:rRNA from 1 species
UUAAGCAUAUCAAUAAGCGGAGGAAAAGAAACCAACAGGGAUUGCCCCAGUAACGGCGAGUGAAGCGGCAACAGCUCAAAUUUGAAAUCUGGCCCCCGGGUCCGAGUUGUAAUUUGCAGAGGAUGCUUUGGGCGAGGUGACUUCCGAGUUCCCUGGAACGGGACGCCAUAGAGGGUGAGAGCCCCGUCUGGUCGCACACCGAGCCCGUGUAAAGCUCCUUCGACGAGUCGAGUAGUUUGGGAAUGCUGCUCAAAAUGGGAGGUAUAUGUCUUCUAAAGCUAAAUAUUGGCCAGAGACCGAUAGCGCACAAGUAGAGUGAUCGAAAGAUGAAAAGCACUUUGAAAAGAGGGUUAAAAAGUACGUGAAAUUGUUGAAAGGGAAGCGCCUAUGACCAGACUUGCGCCCGGUGAAUCAUCCAGCGUUCUCGCUGGUGCACUUUGCCGGGCACAGGCCAGCAUCAGUUUGGCGCGGGGGACAAAGGCUUCGGGAAUGUGGCUCCUCCGGGAGUGUUAUAGCCCGCUGCGUAAUACCCUGCGCCGGACUGAGGUACGCGCAUCGCAAGGAUGCUGGCGUAAUGGUCAUCAGCGACCCGUCUUGAAACACGGACCAAGGAGUCGUCUUCGUAUGCGAGUGUUCGGGUGUCAAACCCCUACGCGGAAUGAAAGUGAACGCAGGUGAGAGCUUCGGCGCAUCAUCGACCGAUCCUGAUGUUCUCGGAUGGAUUUGAGUAAGAGCAUACGGGGCCGGACCCGAAAGAAGGUGAACUAUGCCUGUAUAGGGUGAAGCCAGAGGAAACUCUGGUGGAGGCUCGCAGCGGUUCUGACGUGCGAAUCGAUCGUCAAAUAUGGGCAUGGGGGCGAAAGACUAAUCGAACCUUCUAGUAGCUGGUUUCCGCCGAAGUUCCCUCAGGA